UCUUUCUCAGGUAGACUGCCUAUUUCCUCUUCAUUUGUUAGGUCUGGUGGGUUUUUAUCUUGCUCCUUCAUCUGCUGUGUGUUUUUGUGUCUUCUCAUUUUGCUUAUCUUACUGUGUUUGGGGUCUCCUUUUUGCAGGCUGCAGGUUCGUAGUUCCCGUUGUUUUUGGUGUCUGUCCCCAGUGGGUAAGGUUGGUUCAGUGGGUUGUGUAGGCUUCCUGGUGCAGGGGACUAGUGCCUGUGUUCUGGUGGAUGAGGCUGGAUCUUAUCUUUCUGGUGGGCAGGUCCACGUCUGGUGGUGUGUUUUGGGGUGUCUGUGGACUUAUUAUGAUUUAAGGCAGCCUCUGUGCUAAUGGGUGGGGUUGUGUUCCUGUCUUGCUAGUUGUUUGGCAUAGGGUGUCCAGCACUGUAGCUUGCUGGUCGUUGAGUGAAGCUGGGUGCUGGUGUUGAGAUGGAGAUCUCUGGGAGAUUUUCACCAUUUGAUAUUAUGUGGAGCUGGGAGGUCUCUUGUAGACCAGUGUCCUGAAGUUGACUCUCCCACCUCAGAGGCACAGCACUGACUCCUGGCUGCAGCACCAAGAGCCUUUCAUCCACCCGGCUCAGAAUAAAGGGAGAAAAAGUAGAAAGAAAGAAAGAAAGAGGAUAAAAGAAAAUAAAAUAAACUAAGGUAAAGUAAAAUAAAGUUAUUAAAAUAAAAAAAUAAUUAAGAAAAAAAAUUUUUUUUAAAGUUAAAAAAAAGACGGAAAGAUCCCUAAGACAAAUGGUGACAGCAAAGCUAUACAGAUAAAAUCUCACACAGAAGCAUACACAUACACACUCACAAAAAGAAGAAAAGGGGAAAAAAUAAUAAAUCUUGCUCGCAAAGUCCACCUCCUCAAUUUGGGAUGAUUCGUUGUCUAUUCAUGUAUUCCACAGAUGCAGGCUACAUCAAAUUGUGGAGAUUUUUUUUGCUGUACGCGGGCUUCUCACUGUUUUGGUCUCUCCCGUUGCGGAGCACAGGCUCUGGACACGCAGGCUCAGCGGCCAUGGCGCACGGGCCUAGCCGCUCCGCGGCAUGUGGGAUUUUCCCGGACCGGGCCACAAACCCGUGUCCCCUGCAUCGGCAGGCGGACUCUCAACCACUGCGCCACCAGGGAAGCCCGAUUGUGGAGAUUUAAUCCGCUGCUUCUGAGGCUGCUGGGAGAGAUUUCCCUUUCUCCUCUUUGUUAGCACAGCUCCCAGGGCUGGGCUUUGGAUUUGGCCCCGCCUCUGUGUGUAGGUCGCCUGAGGGCGUCUGUUCUUCGCUCAGACAGGACGGGGUUAAAGGAGCAGCUGAUUCGGGGGCUCUGGCUCACUCAGGCCGUGGGAGGGAGGGGUACGGAAUGCGGGGCGAGCCUGCUGCGGCAGAGGCCGGCGUGACGUUGCACCAGCCUGAGGCGCGCCGUGCGUUCUCCCGGGGGAGUUGUCCCUGGAUCACAGGACCCUGGCGGUGGCGGGCUGCACAGGCUCCUGGGAGGGGAGGUGUGGAGAGUGACCUGUGCUUGCACACAGGUUUUUGGCGGCGGCAGCAGCAGCCUUAGCGUCUCAUGCCCGUCUCUGGGGUCCGGGCUGUUAGCCACAGCUCACACCCGUCUCUGGAGCUCCUUUAAGCAGCGCUCUGAAUCCCCUCUCGUCGCGCACCAGGAAACAAAGAGGGAAGAAAAUGUCUCUUGCCUCUUCGGUAGGUCCAGACUUUUCACCGGACUCCCUCCCGGCUAGCCGUGGCGCACUAACCCGUGCAGACUGUGUUCACACCACCAGUCCUCUCCCUGCGGUCUCACCGAAGCCCGAGCCUCAGCUCCCAGCCCUGCCCGCACUGGCCGGUGAGCAGACAAGCCUCUCGGGCUGAUUCUGCAGAUUAGAAUUGCCUGACUUCUUCAUGCUGCCCUUAAAAAUGUACAUCCCAGAUUACUAUUUUAAAAUAAAAAUAUUUAAUCUUCAAUUUUAUUGAAAAUUUGCUUUCAGGUGCAAAAAUGAAUCACUUCAUCCCCAAAUUCCUUAAUGGCUAAAUAAUUAUUAUGAUUAUUAAUUAUAUUAAUUAUAUUAGUUAUUAUUAUGAUUAGCAAAAAUAGUGACCUGGUUAUAUUACAGGUAGGAAAAUAUAAACAAGAUAUAACCAUUAAUUUUUAUAAAUUUUAAAUUUUAUGCUUUACUCAUCUAUUUGAAAAGCACUUUUACAGUGCUGAUUUUUCUCCAAAGAGCUACUUUUGGAAUCCAUGACCACACAAACUCACUUAGCAUUGCAAAACAACCACCUCUAGGAGCCUUCCCUUCCUUCCUCUGGACAUCUCUGCAACUCACACCUGCUGCAAACAUGUCUGCCUCUGGGUUGUCAAAAUAAGCUCCUUAAAGCAAAGGACAUGAAAUCUUUGUUUCUGAAUUGUAGCAUAGUUUCCCAAAUAGAGAAGAUACUAAAUAGACCACUAUAGGGGAUCAGUUUUCACCUCAUCGAUGUAUAAGACUUUAUUUUUAGUCAUUUUACUCAUGUUGCUCAUGCUCUGCAUUUACCAGCACAAGUUUCUAAAAAGUAUGUCCUAGUUCUGGGGCAGGAUGAUGAGAGAUCUUAGGACAUGGGUCCCAAUUUUUGGUUCAAAAUAUGUGGUCAAGCAAAUUAUUACUAUGUAUUGAAAAAAGAGUUCAAAAACUAUAAAGCUAUUUAAGAUUUUGUAAACUUAGAAACUUUCUAGUAGAGAACAGUAAAGAUCUACCACCUCUUUUAUUGUUAUUUUUUAUGUCUCAUUUUACUUAUACCUAAAAGAAGGACCUUUUAUCUAAUUAAGUUGAGGCAAUAUGUUGCCAUAUCUGAGUGAAACUCACAGAAAAAUAUUCAGACAUAUUUUGGGAAGCAGAAAUAGCAUAACGGUUAUCAGCAUCACAUGUAAUGUUUUUGACAUAAUUCAGUUGUUUUUUUCAUUCCCCCAACCUGUCACUAACUUGACAUCACAUAUCUCUUUUGUAGUGUUUUUCUUAGUAAAACAAAAAAGGGAAGCUUUAGCAAGGCAGCAGUAAAUUGCUUUUUAAAAAUUGCGUUUUGGCAAUUAACUUUUCCUUGUAUUACGAAAAGCAUGUAUUGAUACACAAGCAAAUUCCUGUGUGUUCCCUCUUUCAGUAUUAAAGCCAUCUAAGAAGUUUUAGUUGUACUCUUUAGGCUAAAUUCUCUGUAAACAUGUCCCUAUUAAGAUCAAUUGCAGUGCCUUUCUCUUGAAAGGAUUCCAAAUAGACAACAGUAAAUCAUGCAGCUAGCUUUCCAAUAUUGCAAAUCUGCAUAGGAAUAACAGUAAACAGUAGAUUGAAAACAGUUCUCUGAAACUCUAGAGAAUAAAAUCAAUUCAGAGGACAUGCAAUAAUGAGCUACACUGCAAAGCUGGAAUUAGGGAAGAUAACGAUGGCUGGGGAACAAUAUUUGACAGUUUUUUAGAUUUAUUUUUUAUUGCAACAUGGUUAAUAAUUUUCUUUGAAAAUACUGAUCAAAAUACAAUUGAACAUGUUUCACAUCAAAAUGUAGCAGAGACAAAUCAAUGCAAAUACCCAUUGUCACAUUUGUAACCCCUGCCUCACACAGUGUCCUUUCAAUAGCAAUAAUAUUCAAGUCCUGUUAUUUUUUUAAAUUUGACAUUAAUAAACUACUAGAAAUUGGCAUGUAUGAGAUAGGGAACUUUUUUUGUUGUUUUUUACACAUUAAUUAAAGACAUUUCAUCAGCUUAAUUUUUGGCCACUACCUUAGCUGAACGUUACUCUUUUAUAUUUUUCUUUUAGUUUUGUUUGACCCCCCCCAAAAAAAUCACCAAAAUUUAAAAACUGAAGGUUGAUAAUAUUUCAAAACUAUGCAUGUUAACAUCUUUUCCAACAAAAAUUAUUUCAAGUGGUGCCAAAGAGAACAUUCCAAUUUUUAAGAAAGCUACAAAAAAUUAAAUUUUUAAUGUUAAAACAGAUAGUACCUCAGGCUGAGUGCUAAACUCUUUUCAAUCAAGAUCAAAUCGAAAACAAUUCCAAAGAAUAGUGAAUCCAAAAGUAAUGCUUUUGCUUUCUAACGCUAUUAACAUCAUUAAGUUUAAAUCAGUUUCCAAAAUGUAAUUCUGAGUUUAGUUCAAAGAAUUCUUGAUAAUGUAAAAAACAGACUAGUUGGUCAAGUGUGUAUGUAAGCUAUCAUUAAUUUAGUGAUCCAGCUAGAAAUUUUAUUUAUUGUUAGCAGCUUCCUACAAUCUUUAGAGGUUGAAAUGAGAAAAUUCUUAUUUAUCUUUAUUAAAUAAUCUCACAACUCACAAUUACUCCAUAAUGCAGGAUUAUAGAUUAUCACAUAUGCUUAGUUAAUGAAUGAAAAUUUCUGAAACUGUGAGAUUUCACAGUGUUAAAUUAACAAUAUUGAGUUAUGUCCCUGAUUUGUAGUCUACUACACAAAACUGUUAUUUGAAAAUUUCACUAUGUUAGACAGAGGCUGGUGAGAAAACUCAGGCAAGAUAAAAAAAAUUCGAACUGAGCAAAGCCAAUAUACCCUGAAUAAUCCACAUUUGUUUGUUUUGUUUCAUUUUCCUAUUAAUAUAGUCUCAUACUUCUUAAAGGAAUAGAUCUAAGAAUUUUGAAUUAGCCAUUCUUUUCCUUCUACUUUCUAAAAGUAAAUAGAUAGAUGAAUAAAUAGAUUCUAAAAUAAGAUUUAACAAAUGUAAUAUAUGCAAGGAUUCCAGAAAAACUUUUGCUCUCUUGAAGUUUGUAUCAUAAACAAAAUCACCACAAAGCAUCAUUACCAUUCCCCUAACCGCAAGAGAAUCUGUAUAUAUGUUUGUACUGUUUUAGUGUGUAUUUAGUUUCAUUUUUGUUUUUCUGCUGGUCUUACAUCUGUGACCACGUCGUUGUCUCCAACUAAUGUUUUACUUGUUAGAGCAUCAUUUCUGCAAAUAGCACAGCAUGGUUUUUCAGUCCAUGAGUACAGUGUUUACCGAAAAGGGGUAUUUUCUGCUCUGAUAAUUUUCCUGCCCAGACAGAGUCUAACAAUAAACAUUUGUUUUACUCCCGAUCUCCACAACAGAAGAUGUCUGCCAAAAUUGUGGUUGUGAA